GAUGAGGCGAAUAUGAUGAUGCUGUUUGAAGGAAUUUGUUGAAGAUGAACGAAUGGAAUUGGUGGAUGGGAGCGUUUCUUUGGGAGAUUGAAGGUGAAGAGUAAGAGUGACGCCGAUGGUUGUGAUGCUGAGAUGAACGUUGGAUGAGGCUCGUUCUUGGAGAAUUUGCAGUGAUGUCGAGGCGAUACGAAAGCGAAGUUGUGAGGAAGAUUGAGGUUUGCGGACUUAUGUAUGGAUUGACGAUGAUGAAAUCUUCAGGUGUUGACCCUUUUCUUCUCCUUCUUCAAUUUUCUUCUUCAAUUCUGUUAUGUGUGGAUUUAGGAUUUGGCUUGUGAUAGUGAUGAUGGUGAGGUGCAGGUUUGGAGUUAAUUCGAUGAAGAUGAAGGUUGAGGUUGCAGAGUUUGAAGAUGGGUGAGUAUGGAAGAGAGUGAAAGCGUGGAGUUUGUGAUGUGGAACUGAGAGAAUGAAUGGAGUGAAAAUGGUGGAGACGCUCAAGAAUGAUUGAAGUCUCUGUUAUAUAGGGAUGAAAGGUACAGGCUCAGUUUUGAAGAUGGAAUAUGGGGCUGAAGUGAAUUUAUCAUGCAGCGGGCUCGGUUCGACUUCAAGUGCAGGCUGCAGAGCAUGAAGAAAAAGGAAGAGGAACUUGGGAUUAGUUUUAGGUUUAGAAGUGAGCAUAUGAUGUUUCUUUUUUCUUUCUGUUCCAUGUUCCAAAAGUAGACAAACAGUAGGGUAUUGGUAUGGUUUGUAAAUAAUGGAUUUCAUUUGUAAAUUUGAACUUGAAUGAAUAUAUUUGGAAUAAUGUUGGUUUUGAA